UGCAGAUCUUGAGCACCAGUGGAACAAAAGCAGAAAACAGGUGCUUCUCAUCUAGAAGUUCUGUCUCACAAAUACUGCGGAUGAGCUCAGCCUCAGUGUCAUCAGCAGAUGCUCCGAUGAGGCCCAGCUCCUCCUCCAUAGUGGUAUCAUUUCCUGUGCUCCGAGGUCUCUUCUUUAUUGUGCUGCUGUCAGAACGCUCUUUAUGCUUCUUGGUCUUCUCCUCCUCCCUGAGGAUGCGGCGCCUGCGCAGCUCCGCGCUCACAGACACUUCCAAAUGUGCUACCUGCCGCAGUGCCACCUGUCCCACAAGGGCCACCAGGUGCAGCAGCAGGAACGUAGGAAGACUGCUAGCACCAUCAGAGACUCUGCUGGGAGAAGCCCC
rnacentral:lncRNA from 1 species